rnacentral:tmRNA from 1 species
ACUCAUUGGACCCGGGGGCGGUACCCGGCGCCUCCACCAAAAUAUAAUAAACAAAAAUUUAUAUUUUGAUGGGGGCGAAAUAGGAUCGACAAGAGUGUAAAGAUUGCUCUUUUACUCGGUAUAGUACCACCGUUAUCGGACUAAAUGAGUAGUUGCAAAUGACAACUAUGCGGAAGCACGUCUCGCCGCUUGAGUCGGCGUGAAUGCUUCAAAUUAAGUCUUAAACCGUCGCAGGUUUAAGCGGGGUUCGAAGG